UACGUAGGGUGCGAGCGUUGUCCGGAAUUAUUGGGCGUAAAGGGCUCGUAGGCGGUUUGUCGCGUCGGGAGUGAAAACUCAGGGCUUAACCCUGAGCCUGCUUCCGAUACGGGCAGACUAGAGGUAUGCAGGGGAGAACGGAAUUCCUGGUGUAGCGGUGAAAUGCGCAGAUAUCAGGAGGAACCCCGGUGGCGAAGGCGGGUCUCUGGGCAGGAACUGACGCUGAGGAGCGAAAGCGUGGGGAGCGAACAGG
rnacentral:rRNA from 1 species